GGGAUUGUUGAAUGAAGAGCUUGUUGAAGAUAGACUUGUGAAUCGUUCAUUGCAAAAAGGGUUGCUUUUGGAAUUCAAGAAGGAUUCUGAUAGAGUAUUGCUAGCAGUAGCUCAGAGACCUGAUGGCAAGAACUGGAUGGUUUCUGAUCAGGUUCUAGUAGAAACAACAUAAUGCGGCAUGUUUAAUAGGUUGCUAGGUGUUGGAACUUCUUGCAUUUUUAUAAAUGCUAAAUAUUGCUGGAUUUUGUGUAGUCUAACUCUUCCUUGUUUUUGUUGGGCUGAAGAAUGGUGUCACUUCUUCCAUCAAACCACAACAAGUGACAUAUAUUGUUCCUGGUGUUGACAAUUUUGACCAAGCAGAUAUCGCAGAUUUUGCUCAGAAGGCUCAGGAUAACAUGGUCAGUUCCAGUGUUCCUCAAUGGAGAUGGACCCACCACUACUUGAAUUUGCUUGGAUUGAGCUCCUCGAGAAGAAUAAGUCUGUGACAAUUGAAGAGUUGGCUGAGAUAAUUUUUGGCAGUGCUGAGCCCCUUGAGAGCUAUUCUGCUCAUCUCUUGCUAUCAAAAGAUGAAGUAUACUUUACUGUACUGGAGUUACAAUUACUCAAGUUAUGUAGCUCCCUCUUUGGAGUAUUUUCCUAACAUAUAAAUGUGCUACAUGUUUAGGUGUUUUGCUUUUACUUGUUAUAUAUUACUUGUAAGCUGGGAUCAAAUAAACACAUAAUAGUAGUUUAAAGCCAGUACCUAGCCACACUAGAUAAUUACUAUUAUGCAUUGUUUUAAAAUUUGGACUAAACCAGUCAGGUCGACCAAUCCGACCGAGAACUGUUAUAAUGACUGGUGUUUUACUCUAAAA